AGAUUGAACGCUGGCGGCAGGCCUAACACAUGCAAGUCGAGCGGUAGAGAGGUGCUUGCACCUCUUGAGAGCGGCGGACGGGUGAGUAAUGCCUAGGAAUCUGCCUAGUGGUGGGGGAUAACGUUCGGAAACGGACGCUAAUACCGCAUACGUCCUACGGGAGAAAGCGGGGGACCUUCGGGCCUCGCGCCAUUAGAUGAGCCUAGGUCGGAUUAGCUAGUUGGUGGGGUAAUGGCUCACCAAGGCGACGAUCCGUAACUGGUCUGAGAGGAUAAUCAGUCACACUGGAACUGAGACACGGUCCAGACUCCGUACGGGGAGCAGCAGUGGGGAAUAGUUGGACAAGUGGGCGAAAGCCGUGAUCCAGCCAUCGCCGCGUGUG
rnacentral:rRNA from 1 species